CUCGGUGCGCCGGGCGCUGGGGCGGAGCGGGCCAUGGCCGCCCUGCGCUCCCUGCUGCGGUGGCGCCGCCGCCUGGGGCCCGCGCCCGGCGCUCCGCCCGCCCGGCGGCUGUGGGGCGGCGGCGGCGGCGGCGGGGCCGGGGCGGCGGGGCCGCGGCGGUGGCGGCGGGAGCUGGGCUGGGCGGCGGCGGCGGGGGCGGCUCUCGCCGGGUUCGCGGGGUACCGGCUGUCCGAGCGGCGGUGGGAGCCUUCCCGGGAGCCUUCCCGGGAGCCGGCGGCCGCCGAGCCGGGCGGGGCCCGGGCGCUGCUCCCCAUCCCCGUGGCGGCCGCCGCCAAGGAGACGGUGACGGUUACAGAAAACAGAUCAGACCUCGAAGAUUUACACCUUUAUGCAACUCCGCGGGAGCAACGGUUUCGUAGGUUUGCCAGUCUAGAAUUUGAAGGACAGCUGUACAUGACUCCCUAUGACUUCAUCCAGUCUGUUACAAGUGAUGAACCCAAACAUGCUAAAAAGUGGCGAUCCCUUUCAAAGCAGGAACUGAAUCAGAUCCUUAUGGAGACACCACCGGUUUGGAAAGGAUCAUCCAAACUUUUCCGUAACCUUAAUGAGAAAGGCGUGAUAUCUUACACAGAAUAUUUAUUCCUCUUAUGUAUUUUAACAAAGCCACAUGCAGGUUUUCGAAUUGCUUUCAACAUGUUCGAUACUGAUGGCAACGAAAUGGUGGACAAAAAGGAAUUCUUAGUGCUCCAAGAGAUCUUCAGGAAAAAAAAGGAGAAGAGAGAAAAAAGAGGAGAUGAAGAAAAACGUGCAAUGCUGCGUCUUCAACUUUAUGGAUAUCAUACUCCUACUAACAGUGUUCUUAAAACAGAAGGAGAGGACCUUGUCCCCAGAAGCUAUUGGGAUACUUUGAGACGUAGCACAAGCCAAGCACUCUUUUCAGACCUAGCGGAGCGUGCUGAUGACAUUUCAAGUUCACUAUCAGAUACUACACUGCUUGUACACUUUUUUGGCAAGAAAGGAAAAGCUGAACUGAACUUUGAAGAUUUUUAUAGAUUUAUGGAUAACCUGCAAACUGAGGUUCUAGAGAUAGAAUUCCUUUCCUACUCUAAUGGGAUGAACACUAUCAGUGAGGAAGACUUUGCCCAUAUUCUCUUGAGGUAUACAAAUGUGGAAAAUACAUCAAGUUACCUGGAAAACAUGCGCUGCAGUAUUCCUGAAGAAAAGGGUAUCACAUUUGAAGAAUUUAGAUCAUUUUUUCAAUUCUUGAACAAUCUAGAAGACUUUACAAUUGCAAUGCAAAUGUAUAAUUUUGCAAGUCGUUCCAUAGGUCAAGAUGAAUUCAAGCGUGCUGUGUAUGUAGCCACAGGUGUGAAGCUCUCACCACACUUGGUGAACACAGUGUUCAAGAUUUUUGAUGUCGAUAGAGAUGACCAGUUGAGUUAUAAAGAAUUUAUUGGCAUCAUGAAAGACAGACUCAAUCGAGGGUUUAGGGGCUACAAACCCAUACAGAGGUACACUACUUUCAAAUCCUGCGUGAGGAAGGAGCUCUAUAGCAGAUAAAUGACGGUGAACUUUUUAGUACAAUGUCAAUACAAAGAAUCAAGGAACGAAUCUAGAGAGGGAGCUGGACAUACCUGAAUAAAGACGAAAUACUUUCUUGCAUCUUUUAAUAUAAAUAGGCUAUUUGUUGAAUGCUGUGUGCUGUGAGGAGACUCCGAAGUAUGGCUGGAAGGAAUAUUACUCGUGUGUGAUGACUGUAACCAGUGAGCAUCUCAGAGAUCUGUGGAAGCAAUUUUGGAGACAAGAUAUGCUGAGAUAAAGGAAGAAAGCAGGAUUAUCUGCACGGGCGAGAAUUAUUUAUUCCCAUGAAUUCCUAAUGAAGAACAAACUAACCCAGGUGAAUGGUGAAUCUUCCAGCUGCAGCAGAAAACACAGGACUUCUUUUCCACUUAGAGUAGUGAUCAUCAACUCUUAAAACUGCUUUUCAGUAUGUAUUUUAUUUAAUUGAUGAACUAACUAUGCCAUGUGGGUGGGACAAGCCUUCUUUUGUAAGAACACCUUUUGAAUAUUAUUUUUUUAUUAUUUUGAGAUAAAUUUGUCAUUUCAAAGGAAACAAAAACAAGUCUUACACCUGGCCAGGAAGAUGUUUGGCAGUGAAAUGAAACUGCCUGCAUCAGCUUAGACUGUGAAUUUACUUUCAGAAGAGCACUGUUAAAAGUUGUGCUAAACUGAAAAUGAGACUACAUUAAGUAGCAUAACAAUUACAUACGAGUUGAGUGGACAAAUUAAACUCUUAGAGGCUGUUAUUUUACAAAGAGUAAACUGCUACGGUUAUAAUGUGAAUGAUAGGUAUUUACCUAGGAAAAGUACUGUAUGAACUAUGAUGUUCAGAUUCUCCAAGUCUUAUUAUUAUUUUUAUGAAUUUAUCUUUUAAAAAAUAGUACAGAUUUUAAGAUGUCUUACAAGGAGUAUGUCAAAAAAAAGUCAAAAUGUUCAAUUUCAUGUAACAUACACUUUGUAAUAUUUAUUAUAAAUUUUAUUGCCAUACACUGGUAUGUUUCUUGUAGAGUACAAAUUCAUGUGUUUCUUGUAAAUAGUGCACUUUUAGAUGAAGUGGCACUGAAUAGAAAUUAUAGUUGUCUAAUUUGCUACUCUGGAAUGCUCUGUCUGAAAACUAGAUCAAUAGCUUGUGUUUGUGUCAAACAAAAAAACAAAACAAAAGAUGAAGGCAUGCGUAGUACAGAACAACACUAAGUAAUAUUUGAAUAUUACUUGUUUGCUAUUCAGCAACAGCAUUUUUCCUUGCUCCCUAUUAAGAUUAUUGUUAGGUAGUAGGAAUUAAAUCCACACAAACAAGAACACAUAUUUUUUACACCCUUCUUGAAAGGGUUUACUGGACAUUGAAUAAGUCUGUUUAGGAAAAGACUGUGCCUUGAAAUAAUUCCAGCUGAAUACACACACACUUAAAUAAUGUCAAUAAACUGUCAUCGGAAGCAGAAAUAUUUGGUAGUCAGACAAUCAAAACAGAACUAAAACAAUGCUUUUAAAUAUCUUACUACUCCAAAUCAUAAAAGAAAACUUUUUAACAUUUAAUGAGUGCACGUUUCUCAAUUACCAUAUUAUAUGUCAUGUGAAUAGAUUUAUAUUAUCAUUGUAACAGUGCAUCUAAGUUUAGAAAUGCUUCAUUUAUAGUAAGAUAUAUCUCUGGUACAAGAAUCAAAACAAAAUGAGAAGAAAUCAUUUUUUUUAAGAAAUUCCACACUGGGAAUUGUAGAAAAAAUAUGUGCUAAAUGUGGCUUUUAUCUGAAAAAAACCCUCCAAACCCAAGCCAGUUCAGAAAACUAUCAAAGGAUGAUACAUCAAUUAACAUUUCACAAUAAAUAAAUUCAAAAUUUCCACCUUGGUGUCCUUAAACUAUUGACAGCAAUAAAUAAAUAGAGAUAAAGGUUCUUGAAUUGACACAGCAGAACAUAGAUAAGCUGCAACCCCUGUGUGAUCAUUUAGGGAAUCAACUGUAUUCAAUGUAUCAUCUCGGUACCCAGAACUGUCUCACUGCUUCUUGUCAGCAUAUGCAAAACCCACUUUGUUACUUCAGUGACGAAGGGCAAAGAAAAGAGAAGAAAAUACUGGGAGUCACUGAAAGGGUUCCCAUCCUUACUUUUCACUCAUGACUGCCCACUCACAGUGAUCCUCCCCUUGGAGGAAGCAGCAGUACCAUCAUCAUUUUGCUCCUCCACUGCCCUAGGCAACAGUGCACUUUGCUUUUAUGGCUGGCCUGAGGCAAUUUUAGCAUUUUUCUAUGUAUUUCCUAUCUAUACUUACUUAAUAUAAAAUAGAAUGUGAAAGUGUCAGAUUAGUUUUUAAGACUAUUUUUUCUUCAUGUUUAAUAAUAUUAUUUAAUAUAAAUAUGAAUGAAUACAUAUAAUAUUAUUGUUUAUUUCAAAAUAAAUGCACUUGAAACUAA